rnacentral:rRNA from 1 species
AGUGAACGCUGGCGGCGUGCUCAACACAUGCAAGUCGAACGAGAACGGAAUAUAACUUGCUAUAUUUGUCAGCUAAGUGGCGCACGGGUGAGUAAUGUAUAGAUAACCUGCCCUUAAGAAAGGAAUAACAGUUGGAAACGACUGCUAAUGCCCUAUAUGCCUUUAAUACAUAAGUAUGCAAGGGAAACGCUUUAGUGCUUAAGGAUGGGUCUGUAUGGUAUCAGCUUGUUGGUGAGGUAAUGGCUCACCAAGGCUAUGACGCCUAACUGGUUUGAGAGGAUGAUCAGUCACACUGGAACUGAGACACGGUCCAGACUCCUACGGGAGGCAGCAGUGGGGAAUAUUGCACAAUGGACGAAAGUCUGAUGCAGCAACGCCGCGUGGAGGAUGACGCAUUUCGGCGCGUAAACUCCUUUUAUAUAGGAAGAUAAUGACGGUACUAUAUGAAUAAGCACCGGCUAACUCCGUGCCAGCCGCCGCUGUAACAC